rnacentral:misc_RNA from 1 species
GAUGAAGAACGCAGCGAAAUGCGAUAAGUAGUGUGAAUUGCAGAAUUCCGUGAAUCAUCGAAUCUUUGAACGCACAUUGCGCCUUCUGGUAUUCCGGAAGGCAUGCCUGUUCGAGAGUCAUUAACAACCGUUUCGAUCCCUUUCUUUCAGAAAUUACAAAGAGGAAAAGGGUUUGGUUAUGGUGGAGGAGGGAAAGGGAGCGUUUAGCCUGUAAAAAAAGAGGCUGUGUUCCGCCUCCCCCCCAAAAUCGUACAGGCGGUCGUGUGCGCCCACGCAUCGAGGUGUUGUAAAAGCUGCCACGGCACUUUUCACCUGUGCAGUGCGAGAUUGGCCAGCCGGUUUAAAAACCCCUCCAAACAAUCAAAGGUUGACCUCGGAUCAGGUAGGGAUACCCGCUGAACUUAAGCAUAUCAAUAAGCGGAGGA